AUUGAACGCUGGCGGCAGGCCUAACACAUGCAAGUCGAACGGAGCGGCGGACGGGUGAGUAAUGCCUAGGAAUCUGCCUGGUACUGGGGGAUAACGUCCGGAACCGGGCGCUAAUGCUGCAUACUAUCAGCUGCGCCUAUGGCGGAUUAGCUAUUGGGUGGGGUAAAGGCCUACCAAGGCGACGAUCCGUGACUGGUCUGAGAGGAUGAUCAGGCACACUGGAACUGAGACACGGUCCAGACUCCUACGGGAGGCAGCAGUGGGGAAUAUUGGACAAUGGGCGAAAGCCUGAUGCAGCCAUGCCGCGUGUGUGAAGAAGGUCUUCGGAUUGUAAAGCACUUUAAGUUGGGAGGCGUUACCCGCAGAAGAAGCACCGGCUAACUCCGUGCCAGCAGCCGCGGUAAUAC
rnacentral:rRNA from 1 species